rfam:Clostridium roseum strain DSM 7320 CROST_contig000097, whole genome shotgun sequence.
AUAACCUUUAAUUAUGGUCCUGUGAGGCCAGGAAGGUACUGGAAACUAGUAAUAGGUGUAUUAUACCUUCCUUUAAGUGAGGAAGGUUUUUUGUUU